rnacentral:rRNA from 1 species
UACGUAGGGUGCGAGCGUUGUCCGGAAUUAUUGGGCGUAAAGGGCUCGUAGGCGGUUUGUCGCGUCGGGAGUGAAAUCCACUGGCUUAACUGGUGGCUUGCUUUCGAUACGGGCAGACUGGAGGUAUGCAGGGGAGAACGGAAUUCCUGGUGUAGCGGUGAAAUGCACAGAUAUCAGGAGGAACACCGGUGGCGAAGGCGGUUCUCUGGGCAUGUCCUGACGCUGAGGAGCGAAAGUGUGGGGAGCGAACAGG